AAUGGAGUAGGAGAUAACGCGUCAAGUGCAAUCAAGACGGAGAGUUGCUUGAUUGACGAAUGGUUUCGCCCAGCGGUGUUAUCUCCGCAUCUCGCCGUU
rnacentral:ncRNA from 1 species